rnacentral:rRNA from 1 species
GGAAUUUUGGACAAUGGGCGCAAGCCUGAUCCAGCAAUGCCGCGUGCAGGAUGAAGGCCUUCGGGUUGUAAACUGCUUUUGUACGGAACGAAACGGUCUGCCCUAAUACGGUGGGCUAAUGACGGUACCGUAAGAAUAAGCACCGGCUAACUACGUGCCAGCAGCCGCGGUAAUACGUAGGGUGCGAGCGUUAAUCGGAAUUACUGGGCGUAAAGCGUGCGCAGGCGGUUAUAUAAGACAGAUGUGAAAUCCCCGGGCUCAACCUGGGAACUGCAUUUGUGACUGUAUAGCUAGAGUACGGUAGAGGGGGAUGGAAUUCCGCGUGUAGCAGUGAAAUGCGUAGAUAUGCGGAGGAACACCGAUGGCGAAGGCAAUCCCCUGGACCUGUACUGACGCUCAUGCACGAAAGCGUGGGGAGCAAACAGGAUUAGAUACCCGAG